UACGAAGGGGGCUAGCGUUGUUCGGAAUUACUGGGCGUAAAGCGCGUGUAGGCGGGUCUUUAAGUCAGGGGUGAAAUGCCAAGGCUCAACCUUGGAACUGCCUUUGAUACUGGAGAUCUUGAGUCCGGGAGAGGUGAGUGGAACUGCGAGUGUAGAGGUGAAAUCGUAGAUAUUCGCAAGAACACCAGUGGCGAAGGCGGCUCACUGGCCCGGAACUGACGCUGAGACGCGAAAGCGUGGGGAGCAAACAGG
rnacentral:rRNA from 1 species